GGUACCCUGUGGACCAGAUCAUCCCAGCACCCCUCUGCACUGAACACGCCUAACUGGCUCCCCUCAACAAGAUCAGAUUUAGCUCUGUCUUGCUAGCGUCUGGGUCUUUCCUUCCUAUUCUCAGUAGGAAGAGGGUGGCUUCCAGGCACUGGGUAACAGAGAAAUGGGUACCCGCUGUCUAUUGUAUGUGAGUUUCCAGACCAGAGGGCAUAGACCUCAGUGAUGAGCACUUAAGGCAAAGAGAAAGAGCAGUGAGAGCGAACAGCAAGGGAGUGCGUGUGACGGAAGCCAGCUCUCUGUGCUGUCGAGGUUGAGUGGCCCCUAAGGCCUUGACUCCUAGGAGGAGCACACCACUGGCCGCUCUCUCGGGGGUUUCCUUCCGCAACAGAAGCACUGACAGAGUGUAGACAAGCACCCAGAGCUGCGGAGUUUCAGGUGCUGCCUCUGUCUCUGAGCAUUGGGGACCCACUUCUCAUUCUGCUUCGUUUCUCUUCUGCCUUGUAUAGGUAUGUUUGGAAAACCAAAAGGCCACUCUACCGUUCACACAUUGAUAAGUCAGUCGCAUAUAAGAGAAGAGAAAUGGUGGAGAAUCUUCAGAAACAGUUUAGUGCCCUGAUUGGUUCAGCACCCGAGGUGGAAAGGCAGGCCCCUUCAAGUUUUCAGCU
rnacentral:lncRNA from 1 species